rnacentral:misc_RNA from 1 species
ACCUUAGUUAUUAAGCGUUCGUUGGCGACCAGACUAUUGCUUGAUUCGGUGAGGGCGUGGGCGAAGAGCUGCCACGGCAACAAGGCGCAGAACGUAAAUAUGGGAUAAGGAAUGCCGUCGGAAGGAACCUUUGCGAGCCUGCCGAAGAACAAGCUGAAGACAAGCAUCAUGAACAGCGGUUGAAUUAUCGCCCACGCAGCUCCCAGGGCCGUUUGCUUGUAGCGCACCUUAAUGUCGCGCAACGUGAGGAAGUAAAGCAGCUCGCGAUAAUCCCAGAGCUCGCGAAAUCCGAUCGAGGUCCAGCCACUUGGG